UACGGGGGGGGCAAGCGUUGUUCGGAAUUACUGGGCGUAAAGGGCUCGUAGGUGGCCAACUAAGUCAGACGUGAAAUCCCUCGGCUUAACCGGGGAGCUGCGUCUGAUACUGGAUGGCUUGAGAUUGGGAGAGGGAUGCGGAAUUCCAGGUGUAGCGGUGAAAUGCGUAGAUAUCUGGAGGAACACCGGUGGCGAAGGCGGCAUCCUGGACCAACACUGACACUGAGGAGCGAAAGCCAGGGGAGCAAACGGG
rnacentral:rRNA from 1 species